UAACGGCUCACCAAGGCGACGAUCAGUAGCUGGUCUGAGAGGAUGAUCAGCCACAUUGGGACUGAGACACGGCCCAAACUCCUACAGGUAUGCAGCAGUGGGGAAUAUUGGACAAUGGGCGCAAGCCUGAUCCUUCCUUGCCGCGUGAGUGAUGAAGGCCCUAUGGUUGUAAAGCUCUUUUGUGCGGGAAGAUAAUGACGGUACCGCAAGAAGAAGCGCCGGCUAACUUCCUGCCAGCAGCCGCGGUAACACGUAGGGCGCAAGCGUUGUCCGGAAUUAUUGGGCGUAAAGAGCUCGUAGGCGGUCUGUUGCGUCCGCUGUGAAAACUCGGGGCUUAACCCCGAUCCUGCAGUGGAUACGGGCAGACUAGAGGUAGGUAGGGAAGAAUGGAAUUCCCGGUGUAGCGGUGAAAUG
rnacentral:rRNA from 1 species